UACGAAGGGGGCUAGCGUUGUUCGGAAUUACUGGGCGUAAAGCGUGCGCAGGCGGCCAUCCAAGUCAGUGGUGAAAGCCCGGAGCUCAACUCCGGAAUUGCCAUUGAAACUGUUUGGCUCGAGUACGAGAGAGGUGAGUGGAAUUCCCAGUGUAGAGGUGAAAUUCGUAGAUAUUGGGAAGAACACCGGUGGCGAAAGGCGGCGUCACUGG
rnacentral:rRNA from 1 species